AUUUUUUUAGACGUUUUUUUUUUCUAUCGAUUUCUUCUUCUCUGUUUCUGAAAAUGCAUUUUGUUUGUCUGAUUUCUUAUGCCUUGUUUUUUUCUUCUUUCUCUUGUUAUUUUUCACAAUACAUACUUUCUUUAACUCUACAAUUUUCAUGUUUAGUUUUCUAACUCUCUUCACUUUCAUGCUCUUUAACUCUUGGUCCCUUUUCCAAUUUUAUAUGCCAACAUUGUUAAAAUGCAGUCACUUGUUUUCUCAAUUUUAAUUGUUAAACUUUAUAAUUUUGGUUGUGGUUCAAUAAGCUAAAUUAAGUCAGGUAAACUUCCUUGUAUGUCAUCUGUUUGAUAAAAUUUCACACUGAAAAUUCUGUUAACUUUUGGUUGCUCUUUAAAUUGCUUUUGUCCGUGUUUAGAUAUGAUCUAUUCUAAGUUCAAUUAAGGAUAAUAUGUUUAUCCGACUAACUUGAGCUAAAUUAAGAUCAUAUUGCAUUACUGAUUAGAGGACUUCAAGUGAAUUUUGCCCCAAAAUACUCAAUAGUCUAGUUUGUGGAAGUGCUUUUUAAAAUGAUUUUGCUGUAUGCUAAAUAUUAGGCAUCAUAACAUACAGGGCUUUGAACAUCUCAGAAUUUCAUCUGCAUUUCAUCACAUCCAUUAGGGUUGGAAGUGCUUACCGGCUAUUCAUGCCUCUAGACUAUCAGAAAUUUGAGAGAAGGAGAAAAACAAAAGAGGAGCAAUCUAAGGAGAUCCAAAUUUUGUUUUGGAGACAAGAAGGAAAGGAAGAAGCAGAUAAGCAAUAAAUAAGAAGAUGAAGAGAAAUUUGAGAGAAGGAGAAAACAAAAGAGGAGCAAUCUAGGGAGAUCCAAAUUUGUUUUGGAGACAAGAAGGAAAGGAAGAAGCAGAUAAGCAAUAAAUAAGAAGAUGAAGAGGUAAUAUACAAUAUACUUUGGUUUGUUUUCUAAAGAUUUCACGGGAUGUGUCAAUGACACAAUCUGGGAGGUUUUCAUAUGCUCUUUUUGUUUUUAAUCCAAAACUGGUAAUCCUUAAUGACUUUGUGGAGUAAUUAAGUGCAUGUCAGCCGCAUGUUAAGCAAAAGUUAUGAUUGAUUUUUUUAUUUGUUAUAAUCAUUCUACUGCUAUUUAACCAAAUCCUAUUAGCCAUUAA